rnacentral:rRNA from 1 species
UACGAAGGGUGCAAACGUUGCUCGGAAUUAUUGGGCGUAAAGCGCACGUAGGCGGCUUUGCAAGUCGGAUGUGAAAUCCCUCGGCUCAACCAAGGAAGUGCAUCCGAAACUGCAGAGCUUGAGUACUUAAGAGGAUCGCGGAAUUCCCGGUGUAGAGGUGAAAUUCGUAGAUAUUCGGAGGAACACCAGUGGCGAAGGCGGCUCACUGGUCCGGUACUGACGCUGAGGUGCGAAAGCGUGGGGAGCAAACAGG